rnacentral:rRNA from 1 species
CUUGUACACACCGCCCGUCACACCAUGAGAGUUUGUAACACCCAAAGUCGGUUGGGUAACCUUUUAGGAGUCCGCCGCCUAAGGUGGGACAGAUGAUUAGGGUGAAGUCGUAACAAGGUAGCCGUAGGAGAACCUGCGGCUGGAUCACCUCCUUU